rnacentral:tRNA from 1 species
GCGGCAAGCAGGUCGGAGCGAUGGACAAUGGGAACGUCCGAUGUGCGCGCGACAGCGAUGUCGGGGUUCGAUUCCUCGAUUGCUGUU